UACGUAGGGGCUAGCGUUAUCCGGAAUUACUGGGCGUAAAGGGUGCGUAGGUGGUUUCUUAAGUCAGAGGUGAAAGGCUACGGCUCAACCGUAGUAAGCCUUUGAAACUGGGAAACUUGAGUGCAGGAGAGGAGAGUGGAAUUCCUAGUGUAGCGGUGAAAUGCGUAGAUAUUAUGAGGAACACCAGUAGCGAAGGCGGCUCUCUGGACUGUAACUGACGCUGAGGCACGAAAGCGUGGGGAGCAAACAGGAUUAGAUACCCGUGUAGUCCCUGAG
rnacentral:rRNA from 1 species